rnacentral:rRNA from 1 species
CGCAUACGUCCUACGGGAGAAAGCAGGGGACCUUCGGGCCUUGCGCUAUCAGAUGAGCCUAGGUCGGAUUAGCUAGUUGGUGAGGUAAUGGCUCACCAAGGCUACGAUCCGUAACUGGUCUGAGAGGAUGAUCAGUCACACUGGAACUGAGACACGGUCCAGACUCCUACGGGAGGCAGCAGUGGGGAAUAUUGGACAAUGGGCGAAAGCCUGAUCCAGCCAUGCCGCGUGUGUGAAGAAGGUCUUCGGAUUGUAAAGCACUUUAAGUUGGGAGGAAGGGCAUUAACCUAAUACGUUAGUGUUUUGACGUUACCGACAGAAUAAGCACCGGCUAACUCUGUGCCAGCAGCCGCGGUAAUACAGAGGGUGCAAGCGUUAAUCGGAAUUACUGGGCGUAAAGCGCGCGUAGGUGGUUCGUUAAGUUGGAUGUGAAAUCCCCGGGCUCAACCUGGGAACUGCAUUCAAAACUGACGAGCUAGAGUAUGGUAGAGGGUGGUGGAAUUUCCUGUGUAGCGGUGAAAUGCGUAGAUAUAGGAAGGAACACCAGUGGCGAAGGCGACCACCUGGACUGAUACUGACACUGAGGUGCGAAAGCGUGGGGAGCAAACAGGAUUAAAGACCCUGGUAGUCCACGCCGUAAACGAUGUCAACUAGCGGUCCCGAGCUUCGAGCUAACAGAGUCGGAGCAUCCGCCCGAAAUCAAGGCUAGGGGGACCGCAGC